rnacentral:rRNA from 1 species
AUUGAACGCUGGCGGCAGGCUUAACACAUGCAAGUCGAGCGGAGAUGAGGUGCUUGCACCUUAUCUUAGCGGCGGACGGGUGAGUAAUGCUUAGGAAUCUGCCUAUUAGUGGGGGACAACAUUCCGAAAGGAAUGCUAAUACCGCAUACGUCCUACGGGAGAAAGCAGGGGAUCUUCGGACCUUGCGCUAAUAGAUGAGCCUAAGUCGGAUUAGCUAGUUGGUGGGGUAAAGGCCUACCAAGGCGACGAUCUGUAGCGGGUCCGAGAGGAUGAUCGGGCUCACCGGGACUGAGACACGGCCGAGGCUCCUACGGGAGGCAGCAGUGGGGAAUAUUGGACAAUGGGGGAAACCCUGAUCUAGCCAUGCCGCGUGUGUGAAGAAGGCCUUAUGGUUGUAAAGCACUUUCAGCGAGGAGGAGGCUACUGAGACUAAUACUCUUGGAUAGUGGACGUUACUCGCAGAAUAAGCACCGGCUAACUCUGUGCCAGCAGCCGCCGUAAAAC